rnacentral:rRNA from 1 species
GACGAACGCUGGCGGCGUGCCUAACACAUGCAAGUCGAACGGAAAGGCCCUGCUCUUGCUCCUUUCUCGAGUGGCGAACGGGUGAGUAUCACGCGAGUAACCUGCCCUUGUCUUUGGGAUAACUUCAGGAAACUGGGGCUAAUACCGGAUAUGAGCUCUUGCUGCAUGGUGGUGGUUGGAAAGUUUCGGCGGUUGGGGAUGGACUCGCGGCAUCUGAGCUUGUUGGUUGGGUAGGGGUUUACCAAGGCUUUGACGGGUAGCCGGCCUGAGAAGGUGACCACGCACAUUGGUCCUGCGGUAAGCACCAGACUGGUACGUGACGCAACAGUGGGGAGCAUUGCGGAACGGGCCGACGCGUGAGGUAAAGACCUUGCGUGCGGGAUGACAGCCUUCGAGUUGUAAACAGCUUUCGACUGUGACGAAGACGGCGUGACGGUACUGAGUCAAGAAGCACCGGCUAACUACGUG